rnacentral:rRNA from 1 species
CCGCUUGACUGCGAGAAUGACAAUUCGAGCAGGUGCGAAAGCAGGUCAUAGUGAUCCGGUGGUUCUGAAUGGAAGGGCCAUCGCUCAACGGAUAAAAGGUACUCCGGGGAUAACAGGCUGAUACCGCCCAAGAGUUCAUAUCGACGGCGGUGUUUGGCACCUCGAUGUCGGCUCAUCACAUCCUGGGGCUGAAGUCGGUCCCAAGGGUAUGGCUGUUCGCCAUUUAAAGUGGUACGCGAGCUGGGUUUAGAACGUCGUGAGACAGUUCGGUCCCUAUCUGCCGUGGGCGUUGGAAGAUUGAAGGGGGCUGCUCCUAGUACGAGAGGACCGGAGUGGACGAACCUCUGGUGUUCGGGUUGUGUCGCCAGACGCAUUGCCCGGUAGCUAAGUUCGGAAUCGAUAACCGCUGAAAGCAUCUAAGCGGGAAGCGAGCCCUGAGAUGAGUCUUCCCUGAUACUUUAAGUAUCCUAAAGGGUUGUCGGAGACUACGACGUUGAUAGGUCAGGUGUGUAAGUGCUGUGAGGCAUUGAGCUAACUGAUACUAAUUGCCCGUGAGGCUUAACCAUACAACACCCAAGGGGUUU